UACGAAGGGGGGCUAGCGUUGCUCGGAAUGACUGGGCGUAAAGGGCGCGUAGGCGGUAUGGCACAGUCAGACUGUGAAAUUCCCGGGCUUGAACCUGGGGGGCUGACAUUUGAUACGUGUGAUCUAGAGUGAGGAAGAGGGUCGUGGAAUUCCCAGUGUAGAGGUGAAAUUCGGUAGAUAUUCGCAGGAACACCAGUGGCGAAGGCGGCUUACUGGUCCAUAACUGACGCUGGAGGUGACGAAAGCGUGGG
rnacentral:rRNA from 1 species